CCCUUAGAUGUCCGGGGCUGCACGCGCGCUACACUGUAGAAAGCAGCGUGCUUUAAAACCUUUCCUGAAAAGGAUGGGUAACCCCAGCAAAAUUCUACGUGCUUGGGAUAGAGAUUUGCAAUUUUCUCUCUUGAACGAGGAAUUCCCAGUAAGUGCGAGUCAUCAGCUCGCGUUGAUUACGUCCCUGCCCUUUGUACACACCGCCCGUCGCUACUACCGAUUGGGAAAAUUUUAGAGAGUCCUGGACUGAAGAUUGUUCGGCUUCACGGCCUUACUUUCGUCGGGAAAGAAUUCGAUAAUAUUUUUCUAGAGGAAGUAAAAGUCGUAACA
rnacentral:rRNA from 1 species